rnacentral:rRNA from 1 species
GACGAACGCUGGCGGCGUGCUUAACACAUGCAAGUCGAACGGAAAGGCCCUGCUUUUGUGGGGUGCUCGAGUGGCGAACGGGUGAGUAACACGUGAGUAACCUGCCCUUGACUUUGGGAUAACUUCAGGAAACUGGGGCUAAUACCGGAUAGAAUCUCUUGAUCCACGUGGGGGGUGGGAAAGUUUCGGCGUUGGGGGAUGGACUAGCGGCUUAUCAGCUUGUUGGUGGGGUAGUGGCUUACCAAGCUUUUGACGGGUAGCCGGCCUGGGAGGGUGACCGGCCACAUUGGGACUGAGAUACGGCCCAGACGCCUACGGGAGGCAGCAGUGGGGAAUAUUGCACAAUGGGCGGAAGCCUGAUGCAGCAACGCCGCGUGCGGGAUGACGGCCUUCGGGUUGUAAACCGCUUUCGCCUGUGACGAAGCGUGAGUGACGGUAAUGGGUAAAGAAGCACCGGCUAACUACGUG